rnacentral:rRNA from 1 species
CCUACGGGUGGCAGCAGUGGGGAAUAUUGCACAAUGGGCGCAAGCCUGAUGCAGCCAUGCCGCGUGUGUGAAGAAGGCCUUCGGGUUGUAAAGCACUUUCAGCGGGGAGGAAGGCGGUGAGGUUAAUAACCUCAUCGAUUGACGUUACCCGCAGAAGAAGCACCGGCUAACUCCGUGCCAGCAGCCGCGGUAAUACGGAGGGUGCAAGCGUUAAUCGGAAUUACUGGGCGUAAAGCGCACGCAGGCGGUCUGUCAAGUCGGAUGUGAAAUCCCCGGGCUCAACCUGGGAACUGCAUUCGAAACUGGCAGGCUAGAGUCUUGUAGAGGGGGGUAGAAUUCCAGGUGUAGCGGUGAAAUGCGUAGAGAUCUGGAGGAAUACCGGUGGCGAAGGCGGCCCCCUGGACAAAGACUGACGCUCAGGUGCGAAAGCGUUGGGAGCAAACAGGAUUAGAUACCCCGGUAGUC